UAGAGUUCUUUUACACUUGUGCUACCAUCAAAGAAAGGUCGAAUGUGCCAAGAGUUAAGUGGCCUGAAAAUAAAGUUCAAUUUAUUAAAAGAAAAUAGAAGAUACUCCUCUACUAUUACGACAGUGCAGCAAAUUGUGCUAAUUUUCGGAGAAUUGUCGAAUCAGGACCCGGAAUUAUACCUUAGAUACAGAUCGGAAGUAAGCGGUUACCAGCAGCCGACUUGGUGGCAAAUACUCCCUCGGUCCGGUUUCACGGGACGGGUUAAGCUGAUUAGGCCACGAGAGCCUUAUUCCGCCCAGGAAACGCACCGGAGAUGGGACAGCGUAAACCCCUAGCCCAUUAGAGCGGGAAUAAACCGUUCCCCAAGUACCCAGCCACAGCAGCAGAGUCCGAUCAACGGCAGCAGAGGCAGCGGCAGCGUUAACCGCUGCGUGAACGAGCCAAGCAGCCUAAAAGUCCAGCAGCAACGAGCAUCGUCAGCACCCGAAGCAACAGAAGCAGCAGUGAAAGCCCGGCCGGCACAGUAAGACUUGCGAUCGUCCCUUCGAUGUCAGAGCCGACCCUGAGAGCGAGAAAGCAGCUCACGGCCGUGCUAGCCGUUUAAAAGAGGCUAGUGUUGCCCACCCUCACUAGAUCGCCGAUGGUGUUGCCCAGCGAUCGAGGUUUAGUUUUGGU